rnacentral:tRNA from 1 species
GCCGCCAUGGCGGAACUGGUAGACGCAGGGGACUUAAAAUCCCCCGGCCUUAAACCCGUGCCGGUUCGAUUCCGGCUGGCGGCACCA